rnacentral:rRNA from 1 species
CAGCCGUAAACAAUGUGCGUUAGGUGUGUCGGUAACCACGCGUUACUGAUGCGCCGAAGAGAAAUCGUGAAACGCACCACCUGGGAAGUACGGUCGCAAGGCUGAAACUUAAAGGAAUUGGCGGGGGAGCACCACAACAGGUGGAGCCUGCGGUUUAAUUGGAUUCAACGCCGGACAUCUCACCGGAUAAGACAGCUGAAUGAUUGUCAAUCUGAAGGUUUUACAUGACUAGCUGAGAGGUGGUGCAUGGCGUAGUCGUGU